AAAUAAGAAACAAAAUAUUGUAUUUAGUUUCGACCUAAAAUUUUGGUAAUUUUACCCUUAUUUU
rnacentral:tRNA from 1 species